rnacentral:rRNA from 1 species
GUUUGAUCAUGGCUCAGAUUGAACGCUGGCGGCAGGCCUAACACAUGCAAGUCGAACGGUAACAGGGAGCAGCUUGCUGCUCUGCUGACGAGUGGCGGACGGGUGAGUAAUGUCUGGGAAACUGCCUGAUGGAGGGGGAUAACUACUGGAAACGGUAGCUAAUACCGCAUAACGUCUACGGACCAAAGUGGGGGACCUUCGGGCCUCAUGCCAUCAGAUGUGCCCAGAUGGGAUUAGCUAGUAGGUGGGGUAACGGCUCACCUAGGCGACGAUCCCUAGCUGGUCUGAGAGGAUGACCAGCCACACUGGAACUGAGACACGGUCCAGACUCCUACGGGAGGCAGCAGUGGGGAAUAUUGCACAAUGGGCGCAAGCCUGAUGCAGCCAUGCCGCGUGUAUGAAGAAGGCCUUCGGGUUGUAAAGUACUUUCAGCGGGGAGGAAGGCGUUGUGGUUAAUA